CUCAUUCUCUCUCUCCACCACCAUGUAAGAAGUGCCUUUUGCCCUCCCCCAUGACUGUAAGACCUUCCCCAGCCACGUGGAACUGUAAGUCCAGUUAAACCUCUUUCUUUUGUAAAUUGCCCAGUCUCAGGUAUGUCUUUAUCAGCAGCGUGAAAACUGACUAAGUGGGGCAUUGCUGAAAAGAUACUUGAAAAUGUGGAAGCAACUUUGGAACUGGGUAACAGGCAGAGGGCUCAGAAGAAGAUAGGAGGAUGUGGGAAAGUUUGCAACUUCCUGGAGACUCACUGAAUAGCUUUGACCAAAAUGCUGAUAGUGAUAUGGACAAUAAGGUCCAGGCUGAGGUGGUCUCAGAUGGAGAUGAGGAACUUGUUGGGAACUGAAGCAAAGGUGACUCUUGUUAUGCUUUAGCAAAGAGACUGGCAGCAUUUUGCCCCUGACCUAGAAAUCUGUGGAACUUUGAACUUGAAAGAGAUGAUUUAGGGCAUCUGGCAAAAGAAAUUUCUAAGCAGCAAAGUAUUCAAGAGG
rnacentral:lncRNA from 10 species